CCGCAGCCCAAGGAGUUCAUCUGCGAGGCGUGUGGGCAAAUAUUUCAUAGGGAACACCAUGCAUUUGUGGGAACACAUUGAUUCAGUCCACAAUGAUAUUAUAAGAACAGCGUCUGCCCAAUAGCAGAUAGCACCUACAGGAAUACUUACCGUAAUUAAAUAAAGGAGUAUAUGAAAAAACACCCAAAUUAGGUUAUGUAAUUAGGUCUUGCAAUCUUAUUUGGAUUUGGGCGAUUUUUGAUUAUUAGAACCGUAGUUUUAAUCAUUUCCACAAUAGUUAUUGUGAACCUUUACUUAAUUAUUGUAUUUCUAAUGUCAUAGAGUACAGAAGUAGUUGUCUUACCCAUCAUGCACUGACGCAAUAACGUCGGUGACGUACGGAUGGGCCCAGCCAAAUGUAGCAAAGCAUUUUACUGUAGACAUAAUUUUAAGUAGGUAAUCGAAUAUUCAACAAUUUACGUAUCUUCCAGAGAAAUUUUUCUACCAGAUAAACGCGGUGUAGAGCUUAGUUGACAAGAAGAGGUGGAUUGAGGCGGCCCAAUACAUGUUGGAUAAGGAGCAGCGAUGGAGCCAAAAAAAGCAUUCACGACAGGGCAGCGGUUCAAAGAAGGGAUUGACAUCAACCUGGGCCUGUCAACUCUUCGUGCCGUCAUCGGCGCACGCGCCACAUUCAAACAACACGUGCCCUAUAGAAACUCGAAACUGACGAGGCGGCUGCAAGGGAUCUCUCCAGCGAGCCAAGGGUCAAACGGCCGUGAACUCCUGUAGCAGUCACACACACGUGGUCUUCCUCGUAAAGCUACAGCACUGGAGGAGGCAAGACGGAUUCGCUAGGAGAGAGAUCACACACCCUUCUCACCUGCUGCGCGUCUCCAGGGCAGUCCUCCCUAGGCGAGACCAGGCGCAGCCUGGAGUUCGCAGCAGUUGGCAGGACGGUCAAACAUGACGACAGAAA